AGGUACUUUCUGUGGCAUGUUUUCAUGGUGUGGGAAUAAGACUUGGUGGUCAAAUACAGCUAAUGUGUAGUUUAGCACCACAGCUUGUCUGCAAGGAUUGAAGCUGGGAAACGGCCAUUGGAGCUGAAUUUUAUGGAAGCUGUGGCUGCAGCAAUGAUUAUGUGAUAAAACUGAAGAAUGUUAUUCAAAUUUUUUUUGUAUAUAUUUCAAAAAAUGUAAUUUUUUAUAAAAAAAAAAAAAAAAAAAAAAAAA